rnacentral:rRNA from 1 species
ACGAGUGGUAAUACCGUAUACGCCCUUCGGGGGAAAGAUUUAUCGGUGAAAGAUCGGCCCGCGUUAGAUUAGCUAGUUGGUAGGGUAAUGGCCUACCAAGGCGACGAUCUAUAGCUGGUCUGAGAGGAUGAUCAGCCACACUGGGACUGAGACACGGCCCAGACUCCUACGGGAGGCAGCAGUGGGGAAUCUUGCACAAUGGGCGAAAGCCUGAUGCAGCCAUGCCGCGUGAAUGAUGAAGGCCUUAGGGUUGUAAAAUUCUUUCGCUAGGGAUGAUAAUGACAGUACCUAGUAAAGAAGCCCCGGCUAACUUCGUGCCAGCAGCCGCGGUAAUACGAAGGGGGCUAGCGUUGUUCGGAAUUACUGGGCGUAAAGCGCACGUAGGCGGACUUUUAAGUCAGAUGUGAAAUCCCGGGGCUCAACCUCGGAACUGCAUUUGAAACUGGAAGUCUAGAGACCAGGAGAGGUUAGCGGAAUACCGAGU